CCUGGGGACACGCCGCCAGCAUGGGGCAGGAAGAGGAGCUGCUGAGAAUCGCCAAGAAACUGGAUAAAAUGGUGUCCAGGAAGAACACGGAAGGAGCCCUGGAUCUCCUGAAGAAACUGAGUGGCUACAAGAUGUCAAUCCAGUUACUGCAGACCACCAGGAUUGGGAUUGCCGUCAACGGGGUCCGUAAGCACUGCGUGGAUAAGGAGGUGGUGGCGUUGGCCAAAGUUCUCAUCAAGAACUGGAAACGGCUCCUAGAUGCCCCUGAGACCCCCAAAAAGGAGAAAUCAAUGGAAAGAGAAAAAGAGAAGAAGAAAGAGCAAGAUGUUGACCUUUCUGACUGGAAACCACUGGGGGCUUUUUCCCCACAGAGCAAAAGCCCAAGGGAAGACCCCAAGGACAGGAGAGACUCUUCUGAGUCUGGGUCUUCCUCCACCGUCUCCUCCCCGUCUUUCUCUUCCUCUUCCUCAUCUCCUCAGAAGAGGCCAGUGGAAAGAUCUAACAGCAGCAAAGGGAAAGUGGAGACCCCAAAAACACCCACCAGCCCCUCUUCGCCUACAUUUUCUCCAUCCGUCUGUUUUUUGGCCCCCUGCUACCUCACAGGAGACUCAGUCCGGGACAAGUGCGUUGAGAUGCUGUCAGCAGCCCUGAAGAUGGAUGGUGAUUACAAAGAAUAUGGGGUCAACUGUGAUAAGAUGGCAUCAGAAAUUGAAGAUCAUAUAUAUCAAGAACUGAAGGGCACAGACAUGAAAUACCGGAAUAGGGUACGCAGCCGAAUCAGUAAUCUCAAGGAUCCCAGGAACCCCAGCUUGAGGCGGAAUGUGCUUUGUGGGGCUAUUUCCACCAGCCUCAUUGCCAAGAUGACGGCUGAGGAAAUGGCGAGUGACGAGCUGAAGGAGCUGAGGAAUGCCAUGACUCUGGAGGCCAUCCGGGAGCACCAGAUGGCCAAGACCGGGGGCACAACGACUGACCUCUUCCAGUGCAAUAAGUGUAAAAAGAAGAAUUGUACCUACAACCAGACAAGGAAACUGAGCCUCAUAGAGGUUAAGUGAUUUGCCUAAGGCCACACAGUAAGUAAGUUGCAGAGCCAAGACUCGAACCCAGAUCUUCAAGUCCAGUGAAGGAUGUAAAACCCAGAAUUGGUGGAAAGGAAGGGAGAGAGCAUUCCAGGUGCAGACACGAAGCGCUGAUGAGCCCAUGACCACUUUCGUCUUAUGCAAUGAGUGUGGCAACCGCUGGAAGUUCUGCUGAGCAGUUGCUGGCCGGGCCCGUGGUAGAUGCAUCAAAGAAACACGAAGAAGAAACCACGUGGUCCACCUGCCUGGAGCAUAGAGAGGAAUGCUCAGACGAGAAGGGGAGUUUGGGUGCUGCCAGCUGAACACAGGACUCUUCCCAGAAGACGUGGCCAGCUUUGACCUCUGGCCUCAAAGCUUUCCCGAGUGGGAGAGAGGGGGCACUUGUACUGGGAAGGUCCAAAUCAGAUGAGCUCUGACCUGUGGUUGUAUCUCCCCAAAUCCUGCAGUAAAGGGGAAAUAUGGACUUA